AUGUCGAAGAUGAUUUUUGCUCCUGCGAUUCUGACGAUGACGACGACGGCAGCGGCGAUGCUUGAUGAUCCAUCGAUGCUGCUCGUUUCUAUCUUCAGCAACAUUGCAGCCACUCCUACUGCUCCUGGUGCAGAUUCUCUGGACCAUGAUGCAUCGCCCUGCUCUCGUGGAAUCUCGCCAUCACCACUUGGGCUCUGUUAUGUAUGCCCCUCUUUCUCAACCUGGUCUGGAAGAUGGCAUUAUCAACUCAUGAAUCAUGAAGAGACGCAACCUGCAUUGUUCUCUGACCAGCCCACUGCCUACAAGUCCUGCAAGAUGCAUGGCUCCUUAAAUUGCAAAGAUGAUCUGCGCUGA
rnacentral:rRNA from 1 species